rnacentral:lncRNA from 1 species
GUCACAAUGGUGGACUGUCCAGGUGCUGGCUCGGGAGGGAGGUCCACGUCACAAUGGUGGACUGUCCAGGUAGUGGCUCAGGAGGGAGGUCCACGUCACAAUGGUGGACUGUCCGGGUAGUGGCUCGGGAGGGAGGUCCACGUCACAAUGGUGGACUGUCCGGGUAGUGGCUCGGGAGGGAGGUCCACGUCACAAUGGUGGACUGUCCGGGUAGUGGCUCAGGGGGGAGGUCCACGUCACAAUGGUGGACUGUCCAGGUGCUGGCUCAGGAGGGAGGUCCACGUCACAAUGGUGGACUGUCCAGGUGCUGGCUCAGGAGGGAGGUCCACGUCACAAUGGUGGACUGUCCGGGUACUGGCUCGGGAGGGAGGUCCACGUCACAAUGGUGGACUGUCCGGGUAGUGGCUCGGGAGGGAGGUCCACGUCACAAUGGUGGACUGUCCAGGUGCUGGCUCGGGAGGGAGGUCCACGUCACAAUGGUGGACUGUCCAGGUGCUG